GUGCCAGCACCCGCGGUAAUACCAGCUCCUGGAGUGUCUAUGAUGAUUGCUGCAGUUAAAGAGUUCGUAGUCGAAGCCUUUUGAACUGUGUAAAAUUAGGAAUAUCAAAUUUCUACGAGCGCAGUGAUUUGGCGGAAUAAGGAGCGUUUAGGGGCCAGAAUAUUAAACGGCGAUCGGUGAAAUGUGAUGACCCGUUUAGGAGAAACAGAGGCGAAAGCGCUGGUCAGGAGCGAAUCCGAUGAUAAAGGACGUAGGCUAGAGGAUCGAAGACGAUUAGAGACCGUUGUAGUUCUAGCAGUAAACGAUGCCGAUGUCGUGGUGCCGAAAUUAGGCGACGCGAAAGAGAAAUCAAGUAGGGCCCUGGGGAGAGUACACGCGCAAGCAGGAAAUUUAAAGGAAAUUGACGGAAGAACACCACAAGGAGUGGAGUGUGCGGCUUAAUUUGACUCAACGCGGGACAACUUACCGGGCCCGACGACCGUAAGAGCGUAACACGCGAUAGGUCGAAGAGUGGUGCAUGGCCGUUAACGACGAGUGGAGUGAUCUUAGGGUUAAGUCCGUAAAUUAGUGAGACCUCAGCAAAGGACAGGUGCGCAAAGCACAGGAAGGAUGGGUCAAGGACAGGUCAGUGAUGCCCUUAGAUGGUCCGGGCUGCACGCGCACUACAGUGGUCACACGAAUUUAGAAAUAGAGAGAAAGGUGAUCGAGAGGGAAUGAGCUUUGUAAGAGGCUCAGAAACGAGGAAUUGCUAGUMAUCGCGGGCUCAUUAAGACGCGAUGAAUACGCCCCUGUUCUUUGUACACACCGCCCGUCGUUAUUGAAGACGAAAAUAGGCGCGAACAAUCGACAAGAGAGUGAGCGUAGAUUUUUGGGAUCUGAUACAAGUCGUAACAAGGUAGCUGUAGGAGAACCUGUAGCUGGAUCAGAA
rnacentral:rRNA from 1 species